UUAAAUCGGUGCUCUAGCGGGUGGGGCAGACCCUGGGCUAGCAGGCCCCAGGGAGAACUCCAAUGGCGUCUGUGUCAGCACACCCACACUGGGCCACAACAAUGGCCGCCGCCAAUGUCCCAGUCCCUGGAGAGGUCUCACUCCUCACCAAGAUGCACUCAGGGCCUAUUAGGUGCCAUCAUUGGGUCCAGUGGGGAAAUGGUCAGAUACCUGCAAUAAGCUGAAGAGUAAAGCCCUGGAAAGGAGGGGAACAGAGGCUGGGCGAGUUGACCCUGCUGAGGAUGUUCAUACUUCUGUUUAAUGGAGACAAAGACCAGCUUUACUGAUGUUUCAGCAAUCCAUGAAGAAAGUAAGAGAUGCAUCAGUAGUAACCUACACAAGUUAAGCCAACAUGAAUAGUCCAUGAGAAGACAAGUUGAAAUGCAACCAUUCUGCAUUUGCCAGCUGCUCAGGAGCCGUGAACUCCUCCUAGGUCAUCAGAGAAGCUACACAAAGCAAUAAGCCUCUGACUUGUUUCGCUUAAAUUCAGGCUACUCCUUUUGUGAGAAGACUGUAGGGAACAACCUGCCUCUCUGCUGGCAGCAAUGAAGUGAGAUGGAAAAGCCAGCGCGGUGUGUGGACAGAUGGAGCCUCAGGUAUCUGGAGCUGUGGGUACAGACAAUGAUUUCUAUUGAAGAGAACAGAGGAUUAAAACCUUCCACCAUUUUCUGCUAGCUCUGAGCAUUUCUUUUCCGAAAAGUUUUCAUUCUAGUUCAUAGAGCAUGUUCACAAAUUAUUUUUUUUAAGGGUUGGUUAUAGGGAAAGGUCAAUCUUGAAUAUUUCCCUCUAGUAAUAGGUUUGGGAUAGCAACCUGCCUCUGCCUGUUGCUGUCAUUCUUCUGAGAGAGAAGUUUGCAAAAUCGUCCUGAGGAGCAGGACCUCGAAUGCAAAAUCAGUCUGGUAGAAGAUCCUUCUCCAUUGCUCCCUGGAAGCACAUCCACGGAAUGGCAUUGGAAAACUGCCACUGGAGGGCAUUAGACAUCAUUUAAUUUGCUACAUCAUGACUUUUGACCUCUGCAUUCAUUCCACCUGGGUCACUAGCUUAUUCCCAUUACCAUCAUCAGACAUUUAUCGAUCUAUCGCUAGGUGCAGGAAACAGUGGUAGGUUUGUAGAUUCAAGGCGAUCCUCUAAAGGGCUCACAGUCUAGUUGGAACACAUAUAUAAAAAGAUAAAGAACAGCUACAAUAGGUUCAAAUCAGAGUUGCACACUCUAUCGAAAAGCCAAGACAACAAAGCUUUCUGGGGCAGUGAGUAUUUUGCAAAAGCAACAAGGACCCUCCUAAGAAGUAAACCACACCGUCACAGAGUUUUGCACACUCUGCUGUCAUAAGUCUCACCUCUUCUUGGGUAACCAUAGGAGGGAGCCAACUUUUUCAUUACUAAAAGGUAUCUGUCGAGCAAUUAGGAGGCACCCAAUUUAUACCUUCUUAGGGAUUGCUCCACCGAUUUCUCCCCAAAUUUAUUCCUACAGACCACAAGCUAUAAGCUAUUUUCUAAGCUUGUAAAUAAAAUAACAUGUAAACAAAAAAGAAUAUGAUCAAUCAUUCAUUGAGGAAGCAUUAAGCAGCCUUGGCUUUUACCCCUGGCUCGCCUCAGCUCAGUUGGGCAGAGGAUAUUAAAGACGGAGCAACUGGGAGCGAAGCAAUUAGAGGAUGAUUUUCACAUUACAAAGACUCCCAAAGGGUUCCUUCUAGUUCUUCCCUAGAGGAUUUAAAUAUUUAAGUACCGUUUUACAGACAAUUAACUCCUGCAGCUGGAGGAGGAGAAAGGGAUGGAUGUGGGUGGUCAGGAAAAAAGCAGAUUUAAACCUGAAGUGUUCGGAGCCAGUGCCAACAAUAGAUCAAUAAUCCCAAUAACUCUUAUUUAUAGCCUACUCAUA